rnacentral:rRNA from 1 species
GACAGAGGUUGCAAGCGUUGUUCGGAAUCACUGGGCGUAAAGGGCGCGUAGGUGGCUGAAUAUGUCUGAUGUGAAAGCCCUUGGCUUAACUGAGGAAGUGCAUCAGAAACUAUUUAGCUGGAGUGCAGAAGAGGAUGGCGGAAUUCCCGGAGUAGCGGUGAAAUGCAUAGAUACCGGGAGGAACACCUGAGGCGAAGGCGGCCAUCUGGUCUGUAACUGACGCUGAAGAGCGAAAGCACGGGUAGCAAAC